GACGAACGCUGGCGGCGUGCCUAAUACAUGCAAGUAGAACGCUGAAGGAGGAGCUUGCUUCUCUGGAUGAGUUGCGAACGGGUGAGUAACGCGUAGGUAACCUGCCUGGUAGCGGGGGAUAACUAUUGGAAACGAUAGCUAAUACCGCAUAAGAGUAGAUGUUGCAUGACAUUUGCUUAAAAGGUGCAAUUGCAUCACUACCAGAUGGACCUGCGUUGUAUUAGCUAGUUGGUGGGGUAACGGCUCACCAAGGCGACGAUACAUAGCCGACCUGAGAGGGUGAUCGGCCACACUGGGACUGAGACACGGCCCAGACUCCUACGGGAGGCAGCAGUAGGGAAUCUUCGGCAAUGGACGGAAGUCUGACCGAGCAACGCCGCGUGAGUGAAGAAGGUUUUCGGAUCGUAAAGCUCUGUUGUAAGAGACGAACGAGUGUGAGAGUGGAAAGUUCACACUGUGACGGUAUCUUACCAGAAAGGGACGGCUAACUACGUG
rnacentral:rRNA from 1 species